rnacentral:rRNA from 1 species
GACGAACGCUGGCGGCGUGCCUAAUACAUGCAAGUAGAACGCAGUUUCGAACUUGUGAGUAACGCGUAGGUAACUGCUUCAUAGCGGGGGAUAACUAUUUGAAACGAUAGCUAAUACCGCAUACUGUGAGAUUGACCUGCGUUGUUUUAGUUAGUUGGUUAGGUAAAGGCUUACCAAGGUGACGAUACAUAGCCGACCUGAGAGGGGGAUCGGCCACAACGGGACUGAGACACGGCCCAGACUCCUACGGGAGGCAGCAGUGGGGAAUCUUCGGCAAUGGACGAAAGUCUGACCGAGCAACGCCGCGUGAGUGAAGAAGGUUUUCGGGUCGUAAAGCUCUGUUAUUAGAGAAGCGGUAACGAACCAGAAAGGGACGGCUAACUACGUGCCAGCAGCCGCGGUAAUAC